CGGCGAACGGGUGAGUAAUACAUCGGAACGUGCCCAGUAGUGGGGAUAACCCGGCGAAAGCCGGACUAAUACCGCGUACGACCUACGGGUGAAAGCAGGGGAUCGCAAGACCUUGCGCUAUUGGAGCGGCCGAUGUCAGAUUAGCUAGUUGGUGGGGUAAAAGCCCACCAAGGCGACGAUCUGUAGCUGGUCUGAGAGGACGACCAGCCACACUGGGACUGAGACACGGCCCAG
rnacentral:rRNA from 1 species